GCCUUAUGCAGAACAUUGUGUCCUUGGUUUAGGUGCUAUAGCAACCAAGUAAAACUAUUUAAAGUGGCAACAAAACUCCCCAUCAAAAGACUUAUUCAUGUCAUGCAACGAAAGGAGAAAGCAUUGAACCAGAAAUGAAAUUAUUGGAAGAAUAAUAAAAUAGAGUUUGGGGUAACUUAGUACCAAGGAUUAUUUUAUGGAUAUCUGCCUAGAGAAUGUAUUUAAAGUGUAUUAAACUUCUUUAUAAAACAUUUACAUUUUGCCGUGGGUCUUUAGAGUUAGAACUGCAAAAAUAGCUUUAAUUAUACUAUUUUGCAUAUGAAAAUAUGAUUUUCUUGCAAAAUUUGUUUAAAUUCCCAUGUUUCCUCUUAUCAUUUUGAUGGACUAUAUGACUUUUAUCACCCUUAUUAAUUUUCUGUGGUGAUCCUUGGCAGAGCAAGAGAAAAAUAUUUCUGAGGAAAAUGAAUAAACCACAGAGAAAUACUGAUAUUCUCCAGGGGAUAAACUCCAGAAAGGAACUAACAUGCAGGCUACAGAAGAUAGCCUUCCAUGAACAUUUUGAUAAAAAGAAGAAAAGGCUAAGAAGCAGCAGUUUAUCAUGUAUGCCCACAAAACUCAAGCAAAGAAAAAAAAUAAACUAUUUGGCGAAUCAGAAGAAAGCAGGGUUCAGCUCAGCAAACCCAGAAGACGUCUACCUAUUCU
rnacentral:lncRNA from 1 species